GACGAACGCUGGCGGCGUGCCUAACACAUGCAAGUCGAACGGAAAGACCCUGCUUUUGUGGGGUUCUCGCGUGGCGCACGGGUGAGUAACACGUGAGUAACCUGCCCUUGACUUUGUGAUAACUUCAGGAAACUGGGGCUACUACCGGAUAGGAGCUCCUGCUGCAUGGUGGGGGUUGGAAAGUUUCGGCGGUUGGGGAUGGACUCGCGGCUUAUCAGCUUGUUGGGGGGGUAGUGGCUUACCAAGGCUUUGACGGGUAGCCGGCCUGAGAGGGUGACCGGCGACAUUGGGCCUGAGAGACGGACCAGACUCCUACGGGAGGCAGCAGUGGGGAAUAUUGCACAAUGGGCGGAAGCCUGAUGCAGCAACGCCGCGUGCGGGAUGACGGCCUUGGGGUGGUAAACCGCUGUCGCCUGUGACGAAGCGUGAGUGACGGUAAUGGGUAAAGAAGCACCGGCUAACUACGUG
rnacentral:rRNA from 1 species